rnacentral:lncRNA from 1 species
ACUCACUCCCCUUUUAUUUAUCCAAAAAAAAGGCGAUUACAUACAAUGUUCUUUUGGACCUCUUUCUUAUAAUGCUUCUUUUUGCUUUGAGAGGAUGAACACUCACAACCAUAUAUCUGUUAGGUUUAUGAUGAGAAAUAUUAUUAGAUGUGUAUUAUUUAAUGAACUUAUGUUAUUAAUUGUUUUUCCUAGUUAAUGGUAUUUGUAUGGGCGGUUAUUAAUUGUUUUUCUCACCUGGCCCAAUUUAGUUUAUCAAUUCUACAGAAUAUCUCGGUUGUACUAAAAUGUAUUUAAGGAUAUUCUCAAGAUUGUUUGGUAGAGCCCACAACAGUUAUUGGUAUUUAUAUAUUUUGUAUUGAUAUUCUAUUUUGAAAAUGAGUCUUUUAAAAGCUGUUUAGAGUUGGUAUUUUACUGGGUCUUACUUAUAUCUUUUGUUACUUCUUUUAAAACUGGGAAUAGAGUUUCUCUCUCCUUUAUUUAUUUCAGCUAUAGCUAUUUCAAAAUCAAAUAGUUGUUGAAGAUUAUCUCUUAUCUUUCUGGUUAAGCAAAUCUGUUGAGAUCAUGGAUUUAUUCAAACGGGAUUGAGAAUUCUUAGCUAACCAUCUUCUAGCCGUUGCUAGUCUCGCUUUCGGCUGAACAGAUACAACUCUUGAAACUACAAUUCAUUUGAUAUAUUACAUCAGAGAACUUUUGUUGCUUUAUUCCAGUUGUUAUUCUUUUAAAUUCUUUUGAGCUGGAAAUCUGUUGUAUUCUCUAAAUUCUAUCACUUGUAAACCAAUCACAAGCUUAGGUUAGUUUGGUUAUUCUUGGAGUAGUAAAUCUGUUCAAAGAAGGUUUCAAAAAUUGCAGAGGUGCAUUGGUGUCUAAAAUCAAAGUUGAUUUUCUCCGAACAAAGAAGUUUUAUUUGUAAUUAAUUGGGUCUUAAAAGUUUAAUAAAAAGAGUCUUCAAUACCGG